AUUGAACGCUGGCGGCAUGCCUAACACAUGCAAGUCGAACGGCAGCACAGCAGUAGCAAUACUGUGGGUGGCGAGUGGCGGACGGGUGAGGAAUACGUCGGAAUCUGCCCAGUCGUGGGGGAUAACUAGCCGAAAGGUUAGCUAAUACCGCAUACGACCGAGAGGUGAAAGCGGGGGACCGCAAGGCCUCGCGCGAUUGGAUGAGCCGACGUCGGAUUAGCUAGUUGGCGGGUAAAGGCCCACCAAGGCGACGAUCCGUAGCUGGUCUGAGAGGAUGAUCAGCCACACUGGAACUGAGACACGGUCCAGACUCCUACGGGAGGCAGCAGUGGGAAUAUUGGACAAUGGGCGCAAGCCUGAUCCAGCAAUGCCGCGUGUGUGAAGAAGGCCUUCGGGUUG
rnacentral:rRNA from 1 species